rnacentral:rRNA from 1 species
AUACGGAGGGUGCGAGCGUUAAUCGGAAUUACUGGGCGUAAAGCGCGCGUAGGCGGCUUUGUAAGUCGGAUGUGAAAGCCCUGGGCUCAACCUGGGAAUUGCACUCGAUACUGCAGAGCUAGAGUAUGGUAGAGGGAAGUGGAAUUUCCGGUGUAGCGGUGAAAUGCGUAGAUAUCGGAAGGAACACCAGUGGCGAAGGCGACUUCCUGGGCCAAUACUGACGCUGAGGUGCGAAAGCGUGGGGAGCAAACAGGAUUAGAAACCCCUGUAGUCC